UACAUAUUACAGAGUUCAGUUGUGCACUGUUUUCACAAUGAACGUUGCUUUUUUACCUGCAAUACAAGGGAUUGUAUCUCCAGUUUUGGUCUCAGGGGAAGCUAUCUGACAAACAUGCUACCAGCGGGCAUGAGGUUGAGGUUAUGGCAUCUGGUAUGCCAUAGAGAGGAAUUCUGGGACCUGUUCACCUCCUUUACAUGCAGUACAUUGCUACAGAGCAACUAUUCAACAGGAGCCAUCAGGAGCAGCAAGUAGGACCACAAGAAAAUAAAGGGACCGAAAGAUACAAGAAACAUGUCAAUGGUGAUGUCUCCACCUUGGGAUGGAAAAUCUUGUCUGUCUUAUGAUGAACACCACCAAAUCGUUGGGACUUCUCUGUCUACCUAACCUGCUGUGUAUCUGGAGGGCCCAGAAAUGCCAUGCAGUGCACUGACGAGGAUAAUCGGAGAGAGCAUCAGCUCCAAGAACUGGGUGAGCCAGCAGAAUGAGGAGUCAGGCUGAGACAUAGCAGACACGUUACUGAGACUUCUUCACAGGGACUGAAGUGGUUGGGAGGAAAGGAAUAAAAGGGACAGCAGUAACCACUACAGCAGUGUGGACAACCCAGAAUAGCGAUGGGGCAGGUGGACUAGAUCCACAGUGGUGGAAAGACUUGCAAAUUUCAGGUCCAGGAAAGGAACACAGAGAAGACCUACACGAACAGGGACUUUAAAUUGAUGUACAAGGAGGGAGUAAAGUGGCUCGUCUCUGAGAGACCUUUCUGUUUAGGAAGGAAGACAGGGGAAUGAUGCAGUUUCUUUUGAUUUUGUUUUGUGGAUUUUGGGGUGGGGGUUGUUUGUUUGUGUGUUUAUUUUCCAGAACACCUGAGAGUUAUCCUGCAUUCAUACAGUUCAAGAAGGGAAGGGCUCAGGAAAAAAAUGAAUUCUGGCUACCGAGCUGACACACCACCAGAUCCUAGCAGUCAUAACUGCCCCUGUUGCACAGUACCGCAGGGCUGGCCCCUACCUCCACAGCUGCUCACCUGGCAUCCCACUCAUUUACGAGAUUAUGGAGAGGAGAACUGGAGUGCAAAGCAGAGGCAUUUGUAUGAUCUUUCACUGUCCUGCGUCUCUAGCUGUUUGUAAAAGAAAUACAGUGACUUGUUUUGGUGUUGUGGUCAGCCUGCAGCCCUUUUUGUAUUUAAUAAAGAAACUUCUGGAGAA